UAAAACUUCCCCGACCCGAAGACAAAUACAGAAAAUGCCCCAACACUCAUCAUCUCUGACACAACCCUGAUGAGAUCCUCGCCGCCAUGACCUCCUCCCCCGCGCGCCACCCCCGGGCUCCCCUCGGCGCGCCGCCCCCGGGCUACCCUCCGGCGCGUCGCCGCCCGGCUCUCUCCCCCACACCAGCCUCUCCUUCCCUGCGCCAGCCACCUCCCCGACCCACGCGCGGCCCCCCUCCUUCCCCGCGCCGGCCACCUCCCUGCCCCGCGCGCCGGCCGCUCCUUCCCCCGCGCCGACCGCCUCUCUCCACUGCGCGCCACCCUCCUCCUUCUGAUGCGCUGACGGUCGCCAUCUCCUUUUCCUGACCUGCCGGACGUCGCCUCCUUCCCAGAUCCCACUGCCGCCCCGCAAUACAACCGGCGCCGCGGCUGUCGCCCCGCACCAGAUCCAUGCGCCGCUGCCGCUCUACCACCGUGUGCAGGCAGUUCAACGUGCAACCACUGGCCGUUCAAGCUCUCCGCCGUGGACACGCCCCUCCACCUCCUUCUGGUUGCCUCUCAUCCUGGUGUGGCCAGGGCGUUGGCUUCGCUGCUGCUGCGACCGACAGUCCAACCCGGCCGCCCCAGGUCGUUCACCCGUCGCAGCUCCCAGGCUGAUUGUGUCGAGCCACCUUCCGCCCGCACCUUGGGCUCCCAUAUGCGUCCCCUACCCCAGCUGGUGCACAUGUCCCUGCCCACCGCUGGUGCCCUACUGUCCAGAAGUUUGAUGAAUUGUACACUCGUCAGUCUGUGUGUUGUUAUUCAGUUCCACUAGAUGUGUGUGACAAAUUGGUUUACUUUCUCAGUCCAGCUAGUCUUCCUCUUUAAGUUCGGGCUUCGCUCACCUGUUCGCGCUCGACAGAAUCGAGCUCUUCCAUGGUUCGCAGUCCAACUGCUAGCUCCGCCUCCGAUCGUCUCUUGCUCUGCAGCUGUAUCCGGCUAGGCUGUUCAUGCGACGACCUCCUCUUCCAGGUUGCCGAAAAACAGGAUGUAACAUUUAUGAAAAAAGAGAUGAAUUUAGAGGAAGAUGCAGCACUGGAACGCAGAAGACUCAGUUCACAAAAAAAACACUGAAAAAAUAGCAGGAACAGGCAGCAGAUUACAAAAAUGAAGAUAUAAUAAAGUUCUGAAAAAUGCUAUGAAA